rnacentral:rRNA from 1 species
GAUGAACGCUGACAGAAUGCUUAACACAUGCAAGUCUUUGGUGAAGCUGUGCUUGCACAGCCUAGCCAAGGCGGACGGGUGAGUAACGCGUAAGGAACUUGCCCUGCAGUCAGGGAUAACAGACGGAAACGACUGAUAAGACCUGGUAAAGUCAGGCGGACUCAUGUCCAGUCUGAUGGAAAGAGAUGCUGCAGGAGAGCCUUGCGUCCUAUUAGCUUGUUGGUGGGGUAACGGCCCACCAAGGCAAUGAUAGGUAGCCGGCCUGAGAGGGUGGACGGCCACAAGGGGACUGAGAUACGGCACUUACUCCUACGGGAGGCAGCAGUGGGGAAUAUUGGACAAUGGGGGCAACCCUGAUCCAGCAAUUCUGUGUGCACGAUGAAGGUUUUCGGAUUGUAAAGUGCUUUCAGCAGGGAAGAAAAAAAUGACGGUACCUGCAGAAGAAGCGACGGCUAAAUACGUG